GCCACGGGCCACGCCUCUAACCUCUCUAGUCUCCUUCCUCUCUGUCUUUUGUACAUGCACCUGCCCAGGUGAGACCUCAAAGAAAAAUAACCCGGUGUGCCCACCUAAUCUGGUAACUGAAGGCACUUCCAGUCUGGGGUCAUCUUAAUCUGAGUUCCAGCAAUACUCCACUGUUAAUUUCCAGAAGGAAGAGACUUGGUUUAUUCAUUAUAGGUACUCCAGGAUUUGGAACAGUGCCUGGCACCUGCAGAUGCUCAAGAAUUCUUUGUUGACUGAUGGACUGAAGUAAUGAAUGAACAAAACAGCUCUGCAAGGAAUGGACUAUCAUAAUUCCCAUAGGACAAAUAAGGGACAUGAAACAAGUAAAGUUAAGUGAUUUGAUUGUUACACAUAAAAUAUGUUGUAGGUGAAAGCAUGUCUGCUAACACCACAGUCAACACUUUUUAAAAAAAUUGAGGUAACAUUGGUUUGUAACAUUAUGUAAGUUUCAUGUGUGCACAUUAUAUUUUGAUUUCUGUAUACACUACUGCAUGCUAACCACCAAAAGUGCAGUUUCUAUCCAUCACUGUGUAGUUGAGCCUCUUUACCCAUUUCACCCUCCCUCUACCCCAC